UACGUAGGGCGCAAGCGUUGUCCGGAAUUAUUGGGCGUAAAGAGCUCGUAGGCGGUUUGUCGCGUCUGUCGUGAAAUCCCGCGGCUCAACCGCGGGUCUGCAGUCGAUACGGGCAGGCUAGAGUUCGGUAGGGGAGACUGGAAUUCCUGGUGUAGCGGUGAAAUGCGCAGAUAUCAGGAGGAACACCGAUGGCGAAGGCAGGUCUCUGGGCCGAUACUGACGCUGAGGAGCGAAAGCGUGGGGAGCGAACAGG
rnacentral:rRNA from 1 species